rnacentral:tRNA from 1 species
GGCGCCGCAGAGUGGCCGGGUGGACCUGGCGCCGGUGGUGGCGGCGGGUCCGCGGAUCGCGGCCGGGCUGGCGUCGAUCCGGUCCGCGCGGCAGCGCC